rnacentral:rRNA from 1 species
CAUGCAAGUCGAACGAAGAUGCCGGAGUGCUUGCACUUUGGCAGACUGAGUGGCGGACGGGUGAGUAACGCGUGGGUAACCUGCCUUAUACAGGGGGAUAACAGUUGGAAACGACUGCUAAUACCGCAUAAGCGCACGGUAUCGCAUGAUACAGUGUGAAAAACUCCGGUGGUAUAAGAUGGACCCGCGUCUGAUUAGCUUGUUGGUGAGGUAACGGCCCACCAAGGCGACGAUCAGUAGCCGGCCUGAGAGGGUGAACGGCCACAUUGGGACUGAGACACGGCCCAAACUCCUACGGGAGGCAGCAGUGGGGAAUAUUGCACAAUGGGGGAAACCCUGAUGCAGCGACGCCGCGUGAGUGAUGAAGUAUUUCGGUAUGUAAAACUCUAUCAGCAGGGAAGAUAAUGACGGUACCUGACUAAGAAGCACCG